AGAACAGUAGCAUGAUUAUCAAAAAGAAAUUUGGAUUAACAUAAAUUAACAAGGAUUAAGAUGGGAUUAGAGGUCAAAGUUCAUGAUUAUGAGUGAUAACAAAGAAAAAGGGGUGGACUAAGUAAAACGCACUUGGGCCAAAGAAUUUGUUUGGACAAAAAGCCCAAUUGCACAACACGUGAAUGUUUACCUUAUCUCCCUUUAGGGCUUCCAACCGAAGAAGCUUUCACGAACGUGAGCUUAUAUGAACGCCGCGUCGUACCGAAGCUGCUCGCCGUCGUACCGAAGCAACUUAUUUGUGAUGAAAUGUGUUACGUCCACGUCGUGGUGAAGAUUGAAAAUGGAAGUUCGAAUUGGACCAUUGUGUUGUCGAAGAAGAAGAGCUCGCGAUGAUGGCUGAGUCGAGAUGAAUAUGAUGAUAACGACGACGGAUUCGUUCCCUCCGGCAAAACACGAACAGGGGAGAACGUGUUUUACUACUUUUCGAUCUUUGUGCUUCCUCUUCUCUUUUCUGGUUUUUCUUCCUACUACCUCCUUCUGUAAAUUCCGUUGAGAAGUCCUUGAAAUGCCAUGAACUUCUGCUUGUUUUUGUUUGAUGCUUUCUUUUCUGCCAAUUUCUGUUGUCGUUUGCAAAGAGCUUUGUUGUCGGUUGUUAGUGGUUGAGGGGUUGGAAUGGAGAUUCCGGGUGGUUCUCCAUUGAAGGGUGGUUGUUGGUUGGUUUGGGGAUUGGGUGAAUUCGUGGUUCAAUGAGGGUGGAGAGGAAUCGCAGGGUGAAGAGGGUUUUGAAUGAGGGUUCUCCAUAUUGGUUAAAGGGUCGGAAGUGGUUGUUGAAGGAAGUGAGAAGAUUGGUUAAAGGUUUUGUUGGUUCUGUGAGGUGGGGAGAGAUAGGUUCGAUUGAGGUUCUAAGAUGCUUGGGGAAAAAAAUCUUUGCGGCUCCAAUUCGGUUCUGUUAUGGGGGUUGUGUGGGAUUCAGUUAUGGGAAUCGGUUAGAGUUGGUUCAGUUUGUUGUGGCAAUUUUAGUUGGUCAAGAAGUUUGUUAGGGAGGUUUUGAAUUUAGUUUGAAAAUUUUAACUGAUUCUGUUAUGCUGGUUUUUAUGCAGGUAUUUGUUUAAGGUUUUGAAAGUUUUGUUACGGAGUCGGUUGAAGAGUGAGGUUAUUAUGCAGGUUAAAGGGGGUGAGAAUUCAGUUGGAGUGUGGUUCCAUCUGGUUUUGUUUUGAAUUCUGCAGAGCUUUCUGACAGUUAGAGAAUUGGUUUACGGAAGUUAGGAAAAUUAUAUAAAGCUGUUAGGAAUUGGUUGAAGGGAGAUUACCGUUUUAAGUUGGAGUUUGAAUUCGGAAGUUAAUGGUUGAAGAAGUUAGAGGAGUUUUGGAUUGUUAUUCUAUGCUUUCUAAAAAAUGUUCUGUUAUGACUUGCAAUGUUAUAUCAUUUCUAGGAUGUGCUUUUGGAGCUAUGGUUCAUUGGAUUGGAGCUACGAAGCUUGAACCAUUUUGGAAUUAUUUUGAGCUGACUCGGGUUUGCUAUGGACUUAUUGGAUUUGUUCAGAUGUUUUGGAUAUGGCUUAGUGAUCUUGGACAUGGGAUAUGCUUGAUGGAAUGCUUUGUAAUUUGGUUUAAUUUUGGAAUAUGUUGAAUGUUGUAAUGUAAUGUAAUUGCUUGGAAAUCAUUUAUGGGAUAAUAUGGAAUGGGUUGAUGAAAUUUGAAUUGUAAUUGGAAUUGUUUUGUGAUUUUGGAAAGGUAAAUUGUAUAUAAUUUGUGUGAAAUGAUGGAAUUGAAAUUGGAAUUGUAGUGUAUAAAAGUUUCUAAUGGUUUUGGAA